rnacentral:rRNA from 1 species
UACGUAGGGCGCAAGCGUUGUCCGGAAUUAUUGGGCGUAAGGAGCUCGUAGGCGGCCAGUUGCGUCUGCUGUGAAAUCCCGGGGCUCAACCCCGGGCGUGCAGUGGAUACGGGCUGGCUAGAGGCAGGCAGGGGAGAACGGAAUUCCCGGUGUAGCGGUGAAAUGCGCAGAUAUCGGGAGGAACACCGGUGGCGAAGGCGGUUCUCUGGGCCUGUACUGACGCUGAGGAGCGAAAGCGUGGGGAGCGAACAGG